UACAGAGGUCUCAAGCGUUGUUCGGAUUCAUUGGGCGUAAAGGGUGCGUAGGUGGCCUGGCAAGUUAUCAGUGGUAAAUCGAGGCCCAACCUCGUGGAAACUGGCAAUACUGCUUGGCUUGAGUGCAGGAGAGGUUAACGGAACUCUAUGUGGAGCGGUAAAAUGCACAGAUAUAUAGAAGAACAUCAAUAACGGCGAAGGCAGUUAACUAUUCUGUUACUGACACUGAGGCACGAAGGCCAGGGGAGCAAACGGG
rnacentral:rRNA from 1 species